AUUGAACGCUGGCGGCAUGCUUUACACAUGCAAGUCGAACGGUAACAGGCCGCAAGGUGCUGACGAGUGGCGGACGGGUGAGUAAUGCAUCGGAACGUGCCCAGUCGUGGGGGAUAACGCGGCGAAAGCUGCGCUAAUACCGCAUACGAUCUAUGGAUGAAAGCGGGGGACCGUAAGGCCUCGCGCGAUUGGAGCGGCCGAUGUCAGAUUAGGUAGUUGGUGGGGGAAAGGCUCACCAAGCCAACGAGCUGUAGCUGGUCUGAGAGGACGACCAGCCACACUGGGACUGAGACACGGCCCAGACUCCUACGGGAGGCAGCAGUGGGGAAUUUUGGACAAUGGGCGCAAGCCUGAUCCAGCAAUGCCGCGUGCAGGAAGAAGGCCUUCGGGUUGUAAACUGCUUUUGUACGGAACGAAACGGUGAGCUCUAAUACAGUUUGCUAAUGACGGUACCGUAAGAAUAAGCACCGGCUAACUACGUGCCAGCAGCCGCAGUAACAC
rnacentral:rRNA from 1 species